rnacentral:rRNA from 1 species
GAUGAACGCUGGCGGCGUGCUUAAUACAUGCAAGUCGAACGGAGCAUCGCAAGGUGCUUAGUGGCGACCGGGUGCGUAACACGUAGCUGACCUGCCCCUCAGCGGGGGACAACAGGACGAAAGUUCUGCUAAUACCGCAUAAUUUCGAUGUUUUUAGAAAGCGUCGAAUAAACUUACGGGGCUGAGGGAGGGAGCUGCGGCCCAUCAGGUAGUUGGUGAGGUAGAAGCUCACCAAGCCGACGACGGGUAGGGGGCCUGAGAGGGUGGUCCCCCACAC